rnacentral:rRNA from 1 species
GAUGAACGCUGGCGGCGUGCUUAACACAUGCAAGUCGAACGGUGAACACGGAGCUUGCCCUGUGGGAUCAGUGGCGAACGGGUGAGUAACACGUGAGCAACCUGCCCCUGACUCUGGGAUAAGCGCUGGAAACGGCGUCUAAUACUGGACAUGUGACGUGACCGCAUGGUCUGCGUUUGGAAAGAUUUUUCGGUUGGGGAUGGGCUCGCGGCCUAUCAGCUUGUUGGUGAGGUAAUGGCUCACCAAGGCGUCGACGGGUAGCCGGCCUGAGAGGGUGACCGGCCACACUAGGAUUGAGACACGACCCAGACUACUACGGGAGGCAGCGGUGGGGAGUAUAGCACAAUAGGCGGGAGCCUGAUGCAGCGACGCCGCGUGGGGGAUGAGAGGCUUCGGGUUGUAAACCUUUUUUAGAAGAGAAGAGGAGAAAGUGACGGUACCUGCAGAAAAAGCGCCGGCUAACUACGUG